UGACACAUGUGACUUUUUUCAAGCAAAACUAAAAAAAAAUUGACUCCAGAUGAAAAAAAAUCUGUUGAAGAAGAACAUAAUAGACAUCUGGAUGAAUCUAAAUUAAGGUAUGAUUUGAAAAGCAAGGACACCAAAAAGGCUAACAAUACCAUUAAGGUAUUAACUGGUGAUCUGCAAAAAUGUUUGCCAUCACCCCUUGUAACAAAUUGCAUAAGCUUCUAUAAGAUAAAACUGUCGACAUUAAAUUACACCUUGUAUGAUUCUUCUGAUUCCUCAGUCCAUUGCAUUAUGUGGGAUGAAACCAAAGGAGCUCGUGGUGGAAAUGAAAUCGGAUAUGGAUUACUCAAAUGUGUAGAUACCGUCAUUCCUGGCAGUGAAAUAGAAGAAAUCAUACUAUGGUCAGACAAUUGUUACGACCAGAAUAAAAAUGUUAGCCUUAUUAUGUGUUUCUUUUGGAUACUCAAUAAGCAUCCACAAGUAAAAAUGAUCACCCAGAAGUUUCUACUAAAGGGCCACACCCACAUGGAGGCGGACACUGUCCAUGCGCUGAUAGAGCGAAAGAGAAAAAAACAAGGUGAAUUGUUUGGUUAAAUAAAUUUUGUAAAUCAAA
rnacentral:lncRNA from 1 species